UACGUAGGGUGCGAGCGUUAAUCGGAAUUACUGGGCGCAAAGCGUGCGCAGGCGGUUUUGUAAGACAGAGGUGAAAUCCCCGGGCUCAACCUGGGAACUGCCUUUGUGACUGCAAAGCUGGAGUGCGGCAGAGGGGGAUGGAAUUCCGCGUGUAGCAGUGAAAUGCGUAGAUAUGCGGAGGAACACCGAUGGCGAAGGCAAUCCCCUGGGCCUGCACUGACGCUCAUGCACGAAAGCGUGGGGAGCAAACAGG
rnacentral:rRNA from 1 species